GACAGAGGGUGCAAACGUUGUUCGGAAUUACUGGCGUAAAGCGUGUGUAGGCGGUCUCAUAAGUCGGAUGUGAAAGCCCCGGGCUCAACCCGGGAAGUGACAUUCGAAACUGCGAGGCUAGAGUAUCGGAGAGGUUGGUGGAAUUCUCGGUGUAGAGGUGAAAUUCGUAGAUAGUCGAGAGGAACACCGGUGGCGAAGGCGGCCAACUGGACGAAUACAUGACGCUGGAGAACGCGAAAGCGUGGGGAGCGAACAGG
rnacentral:rRNA from 1 species